rnacentral:rRNA from 1 species
AGUGAACGCUGGCGGUAGGCCUAACACAUGCAAGUCGAACGGCAGCACAGUAAGAGCUUGCUCUUAUGGGUGGCGAGUGGCGGACGGGUGAGGAAUACAUCGGAAUCUACUUUUUCGUGGGGGAUAACGUAGGGAAACUUACGCUAAUACCGCAUACGACCUACGGGUGAAAGCAGGAGAUCUUCGGACCUUGCGCGAUUGAAUGAGCCGAUGUCGGAUUAGCUAGUUGGCGGGGUAAAGGCCCACCAAGGCGACGAUCCGUAGCUGGUCUGAGAGGAUGAUCAGCCACACUGGAACUGAGACACGGUCCAGACUCCUACGGGAGGCAGCAGUGGGGAAUAUUGGACAAUGGGCGCAAGCCUGAUCCAGCCAUACCGCGUGGGUGAAGAAGGCCUUCGGGUUGUAAAGCCCUUUUGUUGGGAAAGAAAAGCAGCAGGUUAAUACCCCGCUGUUCUGACGGUACCCAAAGAAUAAGCACCGGCUAACUUCGUG